AACGAACGCUGGCGGCAGGCCUAACACAUGCAAGUCGAACGCCCGUAGCAAUACGGGAGUGGCAGACGGGUGAGUAACGCGUGGGAACGUGCCCUUCGGUUCGGAAUAACUCAGGGAAACUUGAGCUAAUACCGGAUACGUCCGUAAGGAGAAAGAUUUAUCGCCGAAGGAUCGGCCCGCGUCGGAUUAGCUAGUUGGUGAGGUAACGGCCCACCAAGGCGACGAUCCGUAGCUGGUCUGAGAGGANGAUCAGCCACACUGGGACUGAGACACGGCCCAGACUCCUACGGGAGGCAGCAGUGGGGAAUAUUGGACAAUGGGCGGAAAGACCUGAUCCAGCCAUGCCGCGUGAGUGAAGAAGGCCUUAGGGUUGUAAAGACUCUUUCAGCGGGAAGAUAAUGACGGUACCCGCAGAAGAAGCCCCGGCUAACUUCGUGCCAGCAGCCGCGUAA
rnacentral:rRNA from 1 species